AGUCGAACGGAGAAAGAGAGGUUCGCCUUUCUUUCUUAGUGGCGCACGGGUGAGUAAUGUAUAGCUAACCUGCCCCUUGGUGGGGGACAACAGAUGGAAACGUCUGCUAAUACCCCAUACUCCUUCUUACUCUAAGGUAAGUCGGGAAAACUCCGGUGCCAAGGGAUGGGGCUGUAUCCUAUCAGCUUGUUGGUGAGGUAAUGGCUCACCAAGGCAAUGACGGGUAGCUGGUCUGAGAGGAUGAUCAGCCACACUGGAACUGAGACACGGUCCAGACUCCUACGGGAGGCAGCAGUGGGGAAUAUUGCACAAUGGGGGAAACCCUGAUGCAGCAACGCCGCGUGGAGGAUGACGCAUUUCGGUGUGUAAACUCCUUUUAUAGGGGAAGAUAAUGACGGUACCCUAUGAAUAAGCACCGGCUAACUCCGUGCCA
rnacentral:rRNA from 1 species